AAUAUCACUGACCUAUGGCGUAGUAUUUUACGAUGAAUGUUCUUGUUGCGAAUCAAAUUCGCAAUGGAACUUGCCACAGUCUUGUUUGUCGCUUUGUCCUAAUUGAACCACUGAACAAUGGUCCAUAUCAUCAAAAUCGUACUAUUUUCCAUAAUUAAUUUAAUUCUGCUAUUAGAAUUUUGCGCUGGUAGAAAUGUGAAUGAGUGUUCUGCGGUGCCAUCGGAUGAUAUUUGUUCAUUUGGUGAAGGAAAUUGGGUAGAACGUUGGUAUUUUGAUACCAAAGCAAGGAAAUGCGAACACUUUCUCUACGAUAUUGAAUGUGGCAGUAGCAACGGAAAUAUUUUCCUCACCAAACAUAAAUGUGAAGUAAAAUGCUUGUGAUUAUUGAUUGUAAUCGCCGCUUUUCUUGGAAUUAUUGCGUAUCAACGGCGAAAACGUAUCACAUUCGAAUAUUCCAACGAGCAAAAAUUGUAUUUCAAUCAAAUAUGCAAUAAAAUUGAUUGUAAAAA